GCGCACGCUGGCGGCAGGCCUAACCCAUGCAAGUCGAACGAACCUUUCGGGGUUAGUGUCGGACGGGUGAGUAACACGUGGGAACGUGCCUUUAGGUUCGGAAUAACUCAGGGAAACUUGUGCUAAUACCGAAUGUGCCCUUCGGGGGAAAGAUUAAUCGCCUUUAGAGCGGCCCGCGUCUGAUUAGCUAGUUGGUUGAGGUAAUGGCUCACCAAGGCGACGAUCAGUAGCUGGUCUGAGAGGAUGAUCAGCCACAUUGGGACUGAGACACGGCCCAAACUCCUACGGGAGGCAGCAGUGGGGAAUCUUGCGCAAUGGGCGAAAGCCUGACGCAGCCAUGCCGCGUGAAUGAUGAAGGUCUUAGGAUUGUAAAAUUCUUUCACCGGGGACGAUAAUGACGGUACCCGGAGAAGAAGCCCCGGCUAACUUCGUG
rnacentral:rRNA from 1 species